GGAGGGAUACCCAAGUGGCCAAAGGGAUCUGACUGUAAAUCAGACGGCUCUGCCUUCGUUGGUUCGAAUCCAACUCCCUCCACCA
rnacentral:tRNA from 1 species